UACGAUGGGCGCGGUAGGGGAGAUAUCGAUCCUAUAUUACAGGACGGAAUGGGUUGAUUUUACAUUGCCAUACAUGGACACUCAAAUCUCAAUGUUGAUUCGACAAAAUCAGAGGCCGUUCGAAAAGGGAGGCCGAAUUUCUCCAGCAUCGGCAACUAACUAUUUUGUGGCUGCUACACUUGGUUUUAGCUUUGUUGUUGCGGCGAUUUUUUGGAUUUUGGAAUACAAAACUGACAAGCAUACUUCGCACUUGAAAAAAACCUGCAAGCUCAUUAGUACAACCCUCGACAAAUGUAGUUGACGAUGAUAAUUGGCGAAGAGACAUGUUGGGAUCAAUAACAGGUUAGUGAUGAUACUAUUUUUCAUGGUAUUGUUAAUCCUAAUGGCGUGUUAUUCUGCAAGCCAAACAUCAUCCCUUACAGCACAUAACCAAAAUGGCGGCUUCAAAAACCUAAAUCAGUUGAUAAGAAAGGGUCAAAUGUAGGUUAUCGAAGAGGCUCAUUCGUCUAUAACCUUCUUAUCGAAAAAGGUUUUUUCGAGUCAAAGCUAAUAAGGCUUGACUCGGACAAACACAUGACGGAUAUGUUAGCUAAAGGAACCGAAAAUGGCGGUGUUGAUGCUAUUGUUGCUGAUUCCCCUAAUCUAAAACUUCCCCUUGAUAAGGGUUGCAACGCUUUAACUAUGGUCCCCUCCGUCAAUCUCCCUUCUGCUGGAUUUGGCUUUAUAUGUAUAUGGCUUUCCGUAAAGAAUCUACUCUAACAAAUGAGUUUUCGAAGGGGGUAUUGCGGGUGAUUGACAAUGGUGACUUGGAAAGGAUACAAGAGAGGACGAUAGGCAAUUUCGAUGCGUGUGAAAAUGACCCGUAUAAUUCUGGUUCAAACCCGCGUCUAGAUAAUGAUAGCUUGUGGAUCUUGAUUGCUGGCGGCGUUGGUGUCUUCAUUCUCAUGGUUAUAAUCAUACUACUGUAUUGCGGAUUCAGGUACAAUACUACAAGGAAGAAGAGAGCAAUCACUUACCCUUGUUAUUUACUACCGUGUUGUUAGCUAACAAUCUUUGAACAAAUUACAUGUUAUAUAGUGUGUAUAUAUAAGAUGUGUUUG